AGAGUUUGAUCCUGGCUCAGGAUGAACGCUGGCGGCGUGCCUAACACAUGCAAGUCGAACGAAGCUUGACGGAUGAUUUCUUCGGAAUGAAACCAGAUAUGACUUAGUGGCGGACGGGUGAGUAACACGUGAGCAACCUGCCUUUCAGAGGGGGAUAACGGCUGGAAACGGUCGCUAAUACCGCAUGAUGUGUUCGGAUGGCAUCAUCUGAACAUCAAAGAUUUAUCGCUGAAAGAUGGGCUCGCGUCUGAUUAGAUAGUUGGUGGGGUAACGGCCUACCAAGUCUACGAUCAGUAGCCGGACUGAGAGGUUGAACGGCCACAUUGGGACUGAGAUACGGCCCAGACUCCUACGGGAGGCAGCAGUGGGGAAUAUUGCACAAUGGGGGAAACCCUGAUGCAGCAACGCCGCGUGAAGGAUGACGGUUUUCGGAUUGUAAACUUCUUUUCUUAGUGACGAAGACAGUGACGGUAGCUAAGGAAUAAGCAUCGGCUAACUACGUGCCAGCAGCCGCGGUAAUACGUAGGAUGCAAGCGUUAUCCGGAUUUACUGGGUGUAAAGGGAGCGCAGGCGGGACUGCAAGUUGGAUGUGAAAUACCGUGGCUUAACCACGGAACUGCAUCCAAAACUGUAGUUCUUGAGUGAAGUAGAGGCAAGCGGAAUUCCGAGUGUAGCGGUGAAAUGCGUAGAUAUUCGGAGGAACACCAGUGGCGAAGGCGGCUUGCUGGGCUUUAACUGACGCUGAGGCUCGAAAGUGUGGGGAGCAAACAGGAUUAGAUACCCUGGUAGUCCACACUGUAAACGAUGAUAGCUAGGUGUGGGGGGUCUGACCCCUUCCGUGCCGGAGUUAACGCAAUAAGCUAUCCACCUGGGGAGUACGACCGCAAGGUUGAAACUCAAAGGAAUUGACGGGGGCCCGCACAAGCAGUGGAUUAUGUGGUUUAAUUCGAAGCAACGCGAAGAACCUUACCAGGUCUUGACAUCCGACUAACGAGAUAGAGAUAUGUCAGGUGCCCUUCGGGGAAAGUCGAGACAGGUGGUGCAUGGUUGUCGUCAGCUCGUGUCGUGAGAUGUUGGGUUAAGU
rnacentral:rRNA from 1 species